GGAAUAUUGGUCAAUGGACGGAAGUCUGAACCAGCCAUGCCGCGUGCAGGAUGACGGCCCUACGGGUUGUAAACUGCUUUUAUAUGGGAAGAAACCCCCCGACGUGUUGGGGGUUGACGGUACCAUAGGAAUAAGGACCGGCUAACUCCGUGCCAGCAGCCGCGGUAAUACGGAGGUUCCAAGCGUUAUCCGGAUUUAUUGGGUUUAAAGGGUACGUAGGCGGAAGAUUAAGUCAGUAGUGAAAGCCUCCCGCUCAACGGGAGAAUUGCUAUUGAUACUGAUUUUCUUGAAUAUAGUUGAAGUAGGCGGAAUACGACAUGUAGCGGUGAAAUGCAUAGAUAUGUCGUGGAACACCGAUCGCGAAGGCAGCUUACUAAGCUAUUAUUGACGCUGAUGUACGAAAGCGUGGGGAGCGAACAG
rnacentral:rRNA from 1 species